rnacentral:lncRNA from 1 species
GGGACAACAACUGAUGCCUCCUUUAAUCACAAUACAUUUUUAAAAAGUUGAGAUUUACUAAAAUCUACCUUUCAGGAUUUUAAAAUGGAUGUGCAAUCUCCACCACUUUUAUUGCCAAGGGAGCACGCAUCUGCCCUGGAAAACCUUCCUGUGGAGCGAUGUCAGCAGAGAUAAAUGAAUGAGAGUACAUGCAGUUCUGGAAUAAUAGUGCAAUUUGGCUAAAGGGUGACAUCAUCUUUUCACUGUUGUAUGUGCCAUUCUAAGUAGCAAUAAGUCCAGCUGAGCUAGAGAAUGAAUUAUAAGGAAAGUACAUUGGCAAGGUGGAAUAAAAUAUAAAAAAUUGAAAAAGAAGGUAGCUUUGAAUAGAUCCAGUCCGCAAUAUAUUUUUUGAUAUGGAAGGUCUUGAUUUAAUCACCACAUCAUAAUUUGCCAUUAUUUUGGAUUAUGUGGAAAGAUGCAAAGCUUCUUUCCUAAUGGCUGGUUUGCUAUAUAUACACAUGUGUACCACCAGAGUAUAAAUAGGGACGUUGGAAUUGAUUUUAGUCUUUAAAGUGUACACUUAAAUGCUGGAAAAUAAAAUGCCUUUAUCAGUUAAAUCUCCUUACUGUGAUUCUACAUGCCUCAUUGGUAACACUUGAAGAAGGGUUUGCUGGGUUUUAUUUGGAUCGAGAAAAGAAUGCCAUCAUCCUUCAUGCUGAUGAACCCAGGGGAGGAUCAGUUUGUGAUUCUGCAUGGGUUCUUGAGGGGUCGGCCAGUAUUAACUCAUUGCUUUUUUUCUCUUUAAGUAACAGCUUUAUUGAGAUUGGAUUAACAUCCCAAUAUAUUGCUUCUGUUCUCUAAUUUUUUAGAGUGCAACUCAAACCCCUAAUAUCUCCUUGUCUUCUAAUUCCUCAGGCAACAGAUGACUUUCUGCAAAGGCACUGAUAAUAGCUAUGAGGAAUAAAUAUUGCAGAUGGAUUAAAUCAAAGAAUCAAAUUUCAAAGCCAAAUUAGUCGUGAAAAGGAGGGAGAAGCAGAAAUGAAGAAAAAAGAACCACAGAAGUAAAAUCAGCAGCAUUGAAAAGAAAAUCAUCUGCUGUUUGAAUAAAGACCCAAGAUCUUUCAUUGUUGGAUCCCCAAAGCCAGUGCCUUUUUUGAGCAGCAAGUCCCAAGAUCAAGAAAUCAGAAGGAACUAAUACUUUAACUAAUUAGUAGUAAUGAAAAUUUACUAGACAUCAAUGACAAAUUUACAAGGCAAAUUUAUUUCCAAAGUACAUUCAUAUAUAUCACAGGUAAAAUGAGGUUUUCACAAACACCAUUUUAAACAUAGGGUUUAUUUGCAGGAGCUAUUUUUGUGGCUUAGGGAACAAAUGGUUCAUUGAAACAGAACUUUGCUGGUCUGGUUUCAAAGAAUUCUAUUAUAUAAAAGAUUCUGUAGAACAGAUGGGAUCAAAAGUCCCUGAACACAGAACAGGAAUAUCAGGUAAUGAAAAUGUUCUUUUGGUAUAGUAUUAUGUUUUAUGCUUUGAAAGUAUUAGUAUGCAAGGAACUCAGGCAAGAGCAUAAAAGAGGAAGUAGGAAUAAUACUUUAUGUUUGAAUAGGCUUUAGACUUUCCAAAAUACUUACAUCCUACUGAAGCUUGGUAGCAAGUAUUAUCCUUGUUUUAUUGAUGAAAAACAUGCUUCCAAGAAAGAUGCAUUACAAGCGACAGAAAACUCAAAGUGGAUUACACAGUAAAAGGUAUCUGUCUCUCUGUCUGUCUCUGUCUCUGUGUUUUGGCUCACAGAAUUGAAAAGUUCAGGACUAGAGUGAGCUUUCAAUGUGCCUUGAAAGAGAUGUUCGAUUGAUACCAUCAGGGCCCAGAUUCCCUUGACAUCUCUUAGUUCUGUUUUCCUAGUAUGUGGUUAACUCUGAUUAGCCAGGAUGGAGACAAUAACUCCUGAGCUAAAUAUGUGGAGUGGGGCAAGGAUGGCCCUCUACAGGCGAAGGUGGGGGUGCAUUUUAAUAUGAGUAUGGGGGAAAGGAUCAGAUCUGGGCUAGAUCUGAUAUUCAAGAGGUGUAAACAGAUGACCAACAAGAUGUUAACAAGAUGACACGAUUAGAAAGAUUUUAAUCAAGCCUAGAACCCAGCUCCUCUGAAUCCUGGCAAAACAUAGGUAGGAACAAAACUGGGAAACAAGACAAGGGAUGUCCCAGGAGCUGAUGUUUCAGUAAGAGCAUAGUUGAGAAGAGACAGAAGAAAACAAUAGUUAACAGAGGUAGGUGGAUUUAGAAAGAAGGCUUUACUUUGAACAAGACUUGAUCCCAGUUGAGACUUUGCUGAAGGAAUCCCUAAUAGACAGACCUGAGCCACCUCCUUCCUUUGUCAUAUAUAUGUAUCUCAUAGGCAUCUUACAAAUAUGAUGACUGCUCUAUAAAUAACCGAGAAAUCUUAGUUUCUGGAUCUUACCCUGGCCCAACUCCAAAUUAUCUUCUUUGGUUUUAGCUGGAUCUUUAGGAAGACUGGUCUGCCUAAUUUUGUUGCAUCUCAUUGUGCCCUAUUUGCCAGGCCGCUUUGAUAAGGAGAUCUUCAUAUAAUUCCUUUCUGUGUUGCUGCCCUGUCUUCCAUGUUUAGAGUUCGAAUCCUCCUUUUCUAAUAGCUGAAACACACCCAGAUCAAAAUAAGCUUCAUUAAGGCGGCAUUCUACAAAGACAGUGGUUCUCCAAUGGUGGUCCUCAGAUUACCUGCAUUUUUUUUGAUGCCUUGUGGAAAUAGAAAAACACCCAAACAUCACCUGUUUCUUGAAGUUUGGUGGAACUCAUUGAAUACAACUCUCUUAGGCCAGAUGCCACUUUAGAAAUUAUGUCAUUGAUUACAUUUUCAACUUUUUUUUUUUUUUUUUUUUUUACAGUGCUUGAUCUAUUCACAUUUUCACCUAAUAGGUUUAUUUAACUCAGGACUUUAUGGGGUUGAGAAAAGCACUUUAUUAUGAGAAGAAUAUGUAGGUUAUUUAACAGAGUCACCUGCAGCAGUCAAUAUACAAUAAACUAUAAUGAUACACAGUAGUUCUAAGGUCAGCCUUGCUAUUCAUAUUAUUUUCCAGGAUCACUUCACUGAGGAACUGAACACGAGCAUUUAACUUGUGUGACUAGUUAUGGCCUGGUCUGGAUUUCCUUCUGUAGGUAUUGUCUUGUUCUUGUCUCAGCCUUUUCUUGCUUCCAAGGCCUUACUCAUAAAUUCUAAUCUUUGCUUAUGCAGUCUUUAAGUAUUGUGUUUUCCUCUAUUGAUUUCAUGGAAGGCUUCCCUCUAAUGUAGCAUACAUUGGCCCUGCCUGUGCAAAGCUUCUUUUCUCUCCAACAAGCAGGAGACUUGUGUCUUUAGCUCUUUUUCUGCAAGAGCUGCACUCUCCCGUUCUCUUGUGGCCAUGGCAGAUGAUUUCUCGUCACCUCCUCCCUCUCCGCCAACUUCCUUUCCUCCAUCCAAUUUCUUUUAUGACAGGAGUUCCUCUUGGUUGAAGUUAACAUUAAAACAGUUAACUUUGUUGGUUCUCAAGAUGUCUUACAUGAAAAAAGCUCUGUGGCACAUUACAUUUGGGAGCUGCUGAUUAAAGACAUAUAAGCUCUUUUGCUGACCAUUUUUCCAGAACCUUGACUGGAAUGUUAAUAUCCAUUGUAAAUCUCUAAGUGGGUACCAGUGUUCUGCAAAGCACUCUGGGAAAUGUUUCCCUUUCCUUUAUCUUUUUUAGCCAGUCCCAAUGUAUUAUAACUUGAGUGAAACAGAGCUGUCCUAUACGCCACUCUCAGCAUACUGAGACAUCCAAAGGAAAUCCAAGUCUGGCUGAAAAAAUCACCCACCUUGAAAAACAACGUAUGUUGAUCAAGACAGAUGCCUCUUGGAGAGG